GACGUAGGGCGCGAGCGUUGUCCGGAUUUAUUGGGCGUAAAGAGCUCGUAGGCGGUGUGUCGCGUCGGCCGUGAAAACCUGCAGCUUAACUGUGGGCUUGCGGUCGAUACGGGCAUCACUGGAGUUCGGCAGGGGAGACUGGAAUUCCUGGUGUAGCGGUGAAAUGCGCAGAUAUCAGGAGGAACACCGUGGCGAAGGCGGUCUCUGGGCCGUACCUGACGCUGAGGACGAAAGCGUGGGGAGCAAACAGG
rnacentral:rRNA from 1 species